rnacentral:rRNA from 1 species
ACACAAAAAUGCACAUGCUGUGAGCUCGAUGAGUAGGGCGGGACACGUGGUAUCCUGUCUGAAUAUGGGGGGACCAUCCUCCAAGGCUAAAUACUCCUGACUGACCGAUAGUGAACCAGUACCGUGAGGGAAAGGCGAAAAGAACCCCGGCGAGGGGAGUGAAAAAGAACCUGAAACCGUGUACGUACAAGCAGUGGGAGCACGCUUAGGCGUGUGACUGCGUACCUUUUGUAUAAUGGGUCAGCGACUUAUAUUCUGUAGCAAGGUUAACCGAAUAGGGGAGCCGAAGGGAAACCGAGUCUUAACUGGGCGUUAAGUUGCAGGGUAUAGACCCGAAACCCGGUGAUCUAGCCAUGGGCAGGUUGAAGGUUGGGUAACACUAACUGGAGGACCGAACCGACUAAUGUUGAAAAAUUAGCGGAUGACUUGUGGCUGGGGGUGAAAGGCCAAUCAAACCGGGAGAUAGCUGGUUCUCCCCGAAAGCUAUUUAGGUAGCGCCUCGUGAAUUCAUCUCCGGGGGUAGAGCACUGUUUCGGCAAGGGGGUCAUCCCGACUUACCAACCCGAUGCAAACUGCGAAUACCGGAGAAUGUUAUCACGGGAGACACACGGCGGGUGCUAACGUCCGUCGUGAAGAGGGAAACAACCCAGACCGCCAGCUAAGGUCCCAAAGUCAUGGUUAAGUGGGAAACGAUGUGGGAAGGCCCAGACAGCCAGGAUGUUGGCUUAGAAGCAGCCAUCAUUUAAAGAAAGCGUAAUAGCUCACUGGUCGAGUCGGCCUGCGCGGAAGAUGUAACGGGGCUAAACCAUGCACCGAAGCUGCGGCAGCGACGCUGAUGCGUUGUUGGGUAGGGGAGCGUUCUGUAAGCCUGCGAAGGUGUGCUGUGAGGCAUGCUGGAGGUAUCAGAAGUGCGAAUGCUGACAUAAGUAACGAUAAAGCGGGUGAAAAGCCCGCUCGCCGGAAGACCAAGGGUUCCUGUCCAACGUUAAUCGGGGCAGGGUGAGUCGACCCCUAAGGCGAGGCCGAAAGGCGUAGUCGAUGGGAAACAGGUUAAUAUUCCUGUACUUGGUGUUACUGCGAAGGGGGGACGGAGAAGGCUAUGUUGGCCGGGCGACGGUUGUCCCGGUUUAAGCGUGUAGGCUGGUUUUCCAGGCAAAUCCGGAAAAUCAAGGCUGAGGCGUGAUGACGAGGCACUACGGUGCUGAAGCAACAAAUGCCCUGCUUCCAGGAAAAGCCUCUAAGCAUCAGGUAACAUCAAAUCGUACCCCAAACCGACACAGGUGGUCAGGUAGAGAAUACCAAGGCGCUUGAGAGAACUCGGGUGAAGGAACUAGGCAAAAUGGUGCCGUAACUUCGGGAGAA